CCCCAGAAACCUUCUCUUUCACACUACACACAUACACAAUGCAUCCUUACACAUACACAAACUCAGAAACACACCAUGCUUCCCUUACUUACACAUAAUUCAUCCCUUACAUACACACAAGGCAUCCCUCUCUACACACACAAUUCAUCACACACACACACACACGCACACCUUGCAUCCCUUACACAUACAAACACAGAUUCACUCAAUGCAUACCUUACACACAAACACACACUGCUUUCUAUCCCUUACACGCAAUCACACUGCAUCCCCUAUACACAAACUGGUAUUCCUAUACACUACAUUCCAUAAGAACACAAACACAUUAAAUCCUCAACAAUAACACAUAACACAUCCCCUACACACAUACAC